rnacentral:rRNA from 1 species
GAUCAUGGCUCAGGACGAACGCUGGCGGCGUGCCUAAUACAUGCAAGUCGAACGAGAGCGACCGGUGCUUGCACUGGUCAAUCUAGUGGCGAACGGGUGAGUAGCACGUGGGUAACCUGCCCAUCAGAGGGGGAUAACAUUCGGAAACGGAUGCUAAAACCGCAUAGGUUCUACAGUCGCAUGACUGAAGAAGGAAAAGAGGCUUCGGCUUCUGCUGAUGGAUGGACCCGCGGUG